UACAGAGGGUGCGAGCGUUAAUCGGAAUUACUGGGCGUAAAGGGCGCGUAGGCGGCCUGCUAAGUCGAACGUGAAAUCCCCGGGCUCAACCCGGGAACUGCGUCCGAUACUGGUGGGCUUGAAUCCGGGAGAGGGAUGUGGAAUUCCAGGUGUAGCGGUGAAAUGCGUAGAUAUCUGGAGGAACACCGGUGGCGAAGGCGGGUCUCUGGGCCGAUACUGACGCUGAGGAGCGAAAGCGUGGGGAGCAAACAGG
rnacentral:rRNA from 1 species